rnacentral:rRNA from 1 species
UACAGAGGUCCCAAGCGUUGUUCGGAUUCACUGGGCGUAAAGGGUGCGUAGGCGGCCAAGUAAGUUCGAUGUGAAAUCCCGCAGCUCAACUGCGGAACUGCAUUGAAUACUAUUUGGCUCGAGGAAUGGAGGGGAGACUGGAAUUCUCGGUGUAGCAGUGAAAUGCGUAGAUAUCGAGAGGAACACCAGUGGCGAAGGCGAGUCUCUGGACAUUUCCUGACGCUCAGGCACGAAAGCCAGGGGAGCAAACGGG